CAGCCGCCGCGGUAAUACGUAGGGUGCAAGCGUUAAUCGGAAUUAUUGGGCGUAAAGGGCUCGCAGGCGGUUUCUUAAGUCUGAUGUGAAAGCCCCCGGCUCAACCGGGGAGGGUCAUUGGAAACUGGGAAACUUGAGUGCAGAAGAGGAGAGUGGAAUUCCACGUGUAGCGGUGAAAUGCGUAGAGAUGUGGAGGAACACCAGUGGCGAAGGCGACUCUCUGGUCUGUAACUGACGCUGAGGAGCGAAAGCGUGGGGAGCGAACAGGAUUAGAUACCCCGGUAGUCCCUGUCUCUUAUAC
rnacentral:rRNA from 1 species